AAGUCGUAACAAGGUUUCCGUAGGUGAACCUGCGGAAGGAUCAUUAACAAAUCAUGUGCUAGCCUCGGCUAGUAACAUUAACCCUUAGGCCUUGGUGCUUCGGCACACGGGCCUUUGGUUCGGGUCGCAAGACCCAACAUAGACGCUUGUAUGUUUGACAGUAUUAGUUGACACUCAAAAUGACAACUUUUAACAAUGGAUCUCUUGGCUCUU
rnacentral:misc_RNA from 1 species